rnacentral:piRNA from 1 species
UGAACUGGACGAUGGUACUGUGAA